rnacentral:ribozyme from 1 species
AUGAUAACUCCGCCUGUGUCAGAUUGAGACUCAAGACAUAUUCUUUUGCCACAGCCGGUCCCAAGCCCGGAUAAAGGAGGAGGGUCAU